rnacentral:rRNA from 1 species
GAUGAACGCUGGCGGCGUGCCUAAUACAUGCAAGUCGAACGAGAGCGCCCGGUGCUUGCACUGGUCAAUCUAGUGGCGAACGGGUGAGUAACACGUGGGUAACCUGCCCAUCAGAGGGGGAUAACAUCCGGAAACGGAUGCUAAAACCGCAUAGGUCUUCGAGCCGCAUGGCUUGAAGAGGAAAAGCGGCGCAAGCUUCUGCUGAUGGAUGGACCCGCGGUGCAUUAGCUAGUUGGUGAGGUAACGGCUCACCAAGGCCGUGAUGCAUAGCCGACCUGAGAGGGUGAUCGGCCACAUUGGAACUGAGACACGGCCCAAACUCCUACGGGAGGCAGCAGUAGGGAAUCUUCCGCAAUGGACGCAAGUCUGACGGAGCAACGCCGCGUGAGUGAAGAAGGUUUUCGGAUCGUAAAACUCUGUUGUUAGAGAAGAACAAGUGCGAGAGUAACUGUUAGCGCCUUGACGGUAUCUAACCAGAAAGCCACGGCUAACUACGUG